rnacentral:rRNA from 1 species
ACCUUCGGGCCUCUCGCGUCAGGAUAUGCCUAGGUGGGAUUAGCUAGUUGGUGAGGUAAGGGCUCACCAAGGCGACGAUCCCUAGCUGGUCUGAGAGGAUGAUCAGCCACACUGGAACUGAGACACGGUCCAGACUCCUACGGGAGGCAGCAGUGGGGAAUAUUGCACAAUGGGCGCAAGCCUGAUGCAGCCAUGCCGCGUGUGUGAAGAAGGCCUUCGGGUUGUAAAGCACUUUCAGUCGUGAGGAAGGUAGUGUAGUUAAUAGCUGCAUUAUUUGACGUUAGCGACAGAAGAAGCACCGGCUAACUCCGUGCCAGCAGCCGCGGUAAUACGGAGGGUGCGAGCGUUAAUCGGAAUUACUGGGCGUAAAGCGCAUGCAGGUGGUUUGUUAAGUCAGAUGUGAAAGCCCGGGGCUCAACCUCGGAAUAGCAUUUGAAACUGGCAGACUAGAGUACUGUAGAGGGGGGUAGAAUUUCAGGUGUAGCGGUGAAAUGCGUAGAGAUCUGAAGGAAUACCGGUGGCGAAGGCGGCCCCCUGGACAGAUACUGACACUCAGAUGCGAAAGCGUGGGGAGCAAACAGGAUUAGAUACCCUGGUAGUCCACGCCGUAAACGAUGUCUACUUGGAGGUUGUGGCCUUGAGCCGUGGCUUUCGGAGCUAACGCGUUAAGUAGACCGCCUGGGGAGUACGGUCGCAAGAUUAAAACUCAAAUGAAUUGACGGGGGCCCGCACAAGCGGUGGAGCAUGUGGUUUAAUUCGAUGCAACGCGAAGAACCUUACCUACUCUUGACAUCCAGAGAACUUUCCAGAGAUGGAUUGGUGCCUUCGGGAACUCUGAGACAGGUGCUGCAUGGCUGUCGUCAGCUCGUGUUGUGAAAUGUUGGGUUAAGUCCCGCAACGAGCGCAACCCUUAUCCUUGUUUGCCAGCGAGUAAUGUCGGGAACUCCAGGGAGACUGCCGGUGAUAAACCGGAGGAAGGUGGGGACGACGUCAAGUCAUCAUGGCCCUUACGAGUAGGGCUACACACGUGCUACAAUGGCGCAUACAGAGGGCGGCCAACUUGCGAAAGUGAGCGAAUCCCAAAAAGUGCGUCGUAGUCCGGAUUGGAGUCUGCAACUCGACUCCAUGAAGUCGGAAUCGCUAGUAAUCGUGGAUCAGAAUGCCACGGUGAAUACGUUCCCGGGCCUUGUACACACCGCCCGUCACACCAUGGGAGUGGGCUGCAAAAGAAGUAGGUAGUUUAACCUUCGGGGGGACGCUUACCACUUUGUGGUUCAUGACUGGGGUGA